rnacentral:rRNA from 1 species
AGCGAACGCUGGCGGCAUGCUUAACACAUGCAAGUCGCACGGCCGGGGGUAACUCCGGCAGUGGCGGACGGGUGAGUAACGCGUAGGUAUCUAUCCUUGGGUGGGGGACAACCGUGGGAAACUACGGCUAAUACCGCAUGAUGACCGAGGUCCAAAGGCGCAAGUCGCCCGGGGAGGAGCCUGCGUACGAUUAGCUUGUUGGUGGGGUAAAGGCCUACCAAGGCGACGAUCGUUAGCUGGUCUGAGAGGAUGAUCAGCCACAUUGGGACUGAGACACGGCCCGAACUCCUACGGGAGGCAGCAGUGGGGAAUAUUGGACAAUGGGCGAAAGCCUGAUCCAGCAAUGCCGCGUGUGUGAAGAAGGUCUUCGGAUUGUAAAGCACUUUCGACGGGGACGAUGAUGACGGUACCCGUAGAAGAAGCCCCGGCUAACUUCGUGCCAGCAGCCGCGGUAAUACGAAGGGGGCUAGCGUUGCUCGGAAUGACUGGGCGUAAAGGGCGCGUAGGCGGAUGGCACAGUCAGAUGUGAAAUUCCCGGGCUUAACCUGGGGGCUGCAUUUGAUACGUGUUGUCUAGAGUGAGGAAGAGGGUCGUGGAAUUCCCAGUGUAGAGGUGAAAUUCGUAGAUAUUGGGAAGAACACCGGUGGCGAAGGCGGCGACCUGGUCCUUUACUGACGCUGAGGCGCGAAAGCGUGGGGAGCAAACAGGAUUAGAUACCCUGGUAGUCCACGCUGUAAACGAUGUGUGCUGGAUGUUGGGCGACCUAGUCGCUCAGUGUCGUAGCUAACGCGAUAAGCACACCGCCUGGGGAGUACGGCCGCAAGGUUG